GACGAACGCUGGCGGCGUGCUUAACACAUGCAAGUCGAACGGAAAGGCCCUGCUUUUGUGGGGUGCUCGAGUGGCGAACGGGUGAGUAACACGUGAGUAACCUGCCCUUGACUUUGGGAUAACUUCAGGAAACUGGGGCUAAUACCGGAUAGGAGCUCCUGCUGCAUGGUGGGGGUUGGAAAGUUUCGGCGGUUGGGGAUGGACUCGCGGCUUAUCAGCUUGUUGGUGGGGUAGUGGCUUACCAAGGCUUUGACGGGUAGCCGGCCUGAGAGGGUGACCGGCCACAUUGAGACUGAGAUACGGCCCAGACUCCUACGGGAGGCAGCAGUGGGGAAUAUUGCACAAUGGGCGGAAGCCUGAUGCAGCAACGCCGCGUGCGGGAUGACGGCCUUCGGGUUGUAAACCGCUUUCGCCUGUGACGAAGCGUGAGUGACGGUAAUGGGUAAAGAAGCACCGGCUAACUACGUGC
rnacentral:rRNA from 1 species